GGCUUGUUAGCUCAAUUGGUAGAGCACUACACUGCUAUUGCAGAGGUCAUGGGUUUAAAUCCUGUACGGGCCA
rnacentral:tRNA from 1 species